AAAUGACCGAAACAUAAAUUUACCAAUUAAAUUGGUACCUAAACUAUUAGUCAUUCAUCAAUGUUGUAUCUACGAUUUUUUUUUCUCCCAAUUUAGUAGCCGUGGUAUUAUUUCGUUAACCACUUUAUUUCUUUUAUAUUUCCUUUCUAAUCUUCACGUGGAAAAACGGUUCCUUUAAAAAAAAAAAUUCCCUUUUAAUUUCUAAUCCUCUUUCGCUUUCACACAAGAUUCUUUCUCUUUCACAGAAACUCCAUUGGCGCUGGUUCAUCUUGAAGCAAGGUAAGUUGGGUUCAAAGAUCUGGCUUCGUAAGUCGUCGAUGCUCUACGCGCAAGGUAUUUUCUGUCAGCGCUUGCCUCGCCGUCAAGGAAACUGAGGAUAUCGUGAACAGGGCCUUUGCUUGCUGACCUGAAACGUUCUGGGUUGGUUUGGAACUCGAAGCCUCUGUAGCCAUCCAGAUCCGGGUCCUGGCUUAUUGUUGCUCGUUAUAGAUUCUCCAUUUUUUAAGAGAAGGGAGAUUGGGAGAGGCAAUAGCGUUUUGGGUAAAAGUGAAAAUCCAUAAAUGGAGAGGAAAAUUCAUUAGAAAAAUCAAAACUGGGUAUUAAAAAUGAAAAAUAGCAAUGCCGGAAUUUGAGACUUGUUGCCGGAAUCUAAAAAAUUAUGAAUUUUUCGGCGAAAACAUUAAUUCUAAUGAAGAUAGUUAUAGGUUUUCGAUCUCUAUUGCAUUUUUCCCGUUUUAUUAUGAAAGAAUUGAACAAUUGGGGGGUUAUAAAUAUGACGAUGGGUUGUCCAAGAAAUUUUGUGCAAGAAUGAAAACUAUAAAAUUGGUGCCUGAGAAGUUUAAAUUUUAGAAUGAAAAC
rnacentral:lncRNA from 1 species